CUCAGGCUGAAUGGAAACCAGCCAGUGAGUGCAAAGGCACAAGCCGAGCUUGACUGCGAGGCCAACGCGCCGAGCAGAGACGAAAGUCGGACUUAGUGAUCCUACGACUCCGAGUGGAAGGGUCGUAGCUUACCGGAUAAAAGCUACCCCGGGGAUAACAGGCUAGUCUUGUCCAAAAGUUCACAUCGACGACAAGGCUCGGCACCUCGAUGUCGGCUCAUCGCAUCCUGGGGCUGGAUAAGGUCCCAAGGGUUGGGCUGUUCGCCCAUUAAAGCGGUACGUGAGCUGGGUUCAAGACCGUCGUGAGCAGGUCGGUCUCUAUCCGCUGUGGGCGUCAGGAGUUUUGCGAGGCGCUGCCCCUAGUACGAGAGGACCCGGGGUUGGACGGAGCGCUUGUGUGUCGGUUGUCAUGCCAGUGGCACAGCCGAGUAGCAAUCUCCGGAGCAGAUAACGCUGAAAGCAUCUAA
rnacentral:rRNA from 1 species